GACGAACGCUGGCGGCGUGCUUAACACAUGCAAGUGGAGCGACGAACCAGGCUUCGGCCUGGGGCAGAGCCGCGAACGGGUGAGUAACACGUGGGUUACCUGCCCGAUGACUGGGACAACCCGGGGAAACCCGGGCUAAUACCGGAUGUGUUGCUCUCGCUUCGGUGAGAGCAGGAAAGGAAGCUUCGGCCUCCGCAUCGGGAUGGGCCCGCGGCCCAUUAGCUUGUUGGUGAGGUAACGGCNCACCAAGGCCGCGAUGGGUAGCUGGUCUGAGAGGACGAUCAGCCACACUGGGACUGAGACACGGCCCAGACUCCUACGGGAGGCAGCAGUGGGGAAUCUUGCGCAAUGCGCGAAAGCGUGACGCAGCAACGCCGCGUGGGGGAAGACGGCUUUC
rnacentral:rRNA from 1 species